AGAGUUUGAUCAUGGCUCAGGAUGAACGCUAGCGGCAGGCUUAACACAUGCAAGUCGAGGGGUAUAAGUCUUCGGAUUUAGAGACCGGCGCACGGGUGCGUAACGCGUAUGCAAUCUACCUUUUACAGAGGGAUAGCCCAGAGAAAUUUGGAUUAAUACCUCAUAGUAUAGCAGUUUCGCAUGAAACCACUAUUAAAGUCACAACGGUAAAAGAUGAGCAUGCGUCCCAUUAGCUAGUUGGUAAGGUAACGGCUUACCAAGGCUACGAUGGGUAGGGGUCCUGAGAGGGAGAUCCCCCACACUGGUACUGAGACACGGACCAGACUCCUACGGGAGGCAGCAGUGAGGAAUAUUGGACAAUGGGCGCAAGCCUGAUCCAGCCAUGCCGCGUGCAGGAUGACGGUCCUAUGGAUUGUAAACUGCUUUUAUACGAGAAGAAACACUGCUUCGUGAAGCAGCUUGACGGUAUCGUAAGAAUAAGGAUCGGCUAACUCCGUGCCAGCAGCCGCGGUAAUACGGAGGAUCCAAGCGUUAUCCGGAAUCAUUGGGUUUAAAGGGUCCGUAGGCGGUUUAAUAAGUCAGUGGUGAAAGCCCAUCGCUCAACNNUGAACGGCCAUUGAUACUGCAAGACUUGAAUUAUUGGGAAGUAACUAGAAUAUGUAGUGUAGCGGUGAAAUGCUUAGAGAUUACAUGGAAUACCAAUUGCGAAGGCAGGUUACUACCAAUAUAUUGACGCUGAUGGACGAAAGCGUGGGGAGCGAACAGGAUUAGAUACCCUAGUAGUCC
rnacentral:rRNA from 1 species